CAGGAAUUUUUGGAGAUUGUGCUUAACUGCACUUUUCUUAUCUACACACGUGUUUUUGUUUUAUUCUUAAAACUUGCUUUGGCAGUGGCUGCUUAAUUGCUCUGCUGCCAGAGGAUAAACUCAACCUAAAUUUUUUAUUUUAAACUAGUCAACUGAUUAUAUUUAUUAAUAGUCAAAACUUUCAACAACGGAUCUCUUGGUUCUCGCAUCGAUGAAGAACGCAGCGAAAUGCGAUAAGUAAUAUGAAUUGCAGAUAUUCGUGAAUCAUCGAAUCUUUGAACGCACAUUGCGCCCUCUGGUAUUCCGGAGGGCAUGCCUGUUUGAGCGUCAUUUCUCCCUCAAACCCCCGGGUUUGGUGAUGAGCAAUACGCCAGGUUUGCUUGAAAGUUAGGAGGAGUAUUUAUAACAAUGUAUUAGGUCUAACCACUCCAUUGUGCUUAAUAAAAGCUCCAAUCUAUAUUUCAAACUUCGACCUCAAAUCAGGUAGGAUUACCCGCUGAACUUAAGCAUAUCAAUAAGCGGAGGAA
rnacentral:rRNA from 1 species